UGCGCCUUGCCAGCCCGCUCAGAAACUUAAAGGAAUUGACGGGACCCCGCACAAGCGGUGGAUCAUGUUGUUUAAUUCGAUGAUACGCGAAGAACCUUACCAGGUCUUGACAUCCCCCGCGAUGCUUUAGAGAUAAAGCGGAGGUAUUCGGGGAGACAGGUGGUGCAUGGUUGUCGUCAGCUCGUGUCGUGAGAUGUUGGGUUAAGUCCCGCAACGAGCGCAACCCCUAUUGCUAGUUACCAUCAUUAAGUUGGGGACUCUAGCGAGACUGCCAGUGAUAAACUGGAGGAAGGUGGGGAUGACGUCAAGUCCUCAUGGCCUUUAUGACCAGGGCUACACACGUACUACAAUGGCCGAUACAAAGGGCAGCGACACUGCGAGGUGAAGCCAAUCCCGUAAAAUCGGUCUCAGUCCGGAUUGGAGUCUGCAACUCGACUCCAUGAAGUUGGAAUCGCUAGUAAUCGUGGAUCAGCAUGCCACGGUGAAUACGUUCCCGGGCCUU
rnacentral:rRNA from 1 species